CCUACGGGGGGCAGCAGUGGGGAAUAUUGCACAAUGGGGGAAACCCUGAUGCAGCGACGCCGCGUGAAGGAAGAAGUAUUUCGGUAUGUAAACUUCUAUCAGCAGGGAAGAAAAUGACGGUACCUGACUACGAAGCCCCGGCUAACUACGUGCCAGCAGCCGCGGUAAUACGUAGGGGGCAAGCGUUAUCCGGAUUUACUGGGUGUAAAGGGAGCGUAGACGGGGUGCCAAGUCUGGUGUGAAAGGCCGGGGCUCAACCCCGGGACUGCAGUGGAAACUGGCAUGCUGGAGUGCCGGAGGGGCAAGCGGAAUGCCUAGUGUAGCGGUGAAAUGCGUAGAUAUCAGGAGGAACACCGGUGGCGAAGGCGGCUUGCUGGACGGUAACUGACGUUGAGGCUCGAAAGCGUGGGUAGCAAACAGGAUUAGAUACCCGAGUAGUC
rnacentral:rRNA from 1 species